GCCCGGUUAGCUCAGCCGGUAGAGCGUUGGAAUUUUAAUCCAAAGGCCAAGGAAUCCACAGUCCCUUAUCGGGCU
rnacentral:tRNA from 1 species